rnacentral:rRNA from 1 species
UACGAUGGGUGCAAGCGUUGCUCGGAAUUAUUGGGCGUAAAGGGUAGGUAGGUGGUCUCAUUUGUCUGGGGUGAAAGCCUUGAGCUUAACUCAAGAAGUGCCCUAGAAACGGUGAGACUGGAGUCCUGGAGAGGGUCGUGGAAUUCCCGGUGUAGCGGUGAAAUGCGUAGAGAUCGGGAGGAACACCAGAGGCGAAGGCGGCGACCUGGACAGGCACUGACACUCAACUACGAAAGCGUGGGGAGCAAACAGG